AUGAGAACGCUCCGUUACCACGAAGAUACACGCGACAGCACACAGCGCACGCGGAGCUGGAAGAGACUGCACGACACGGAAUCGGAACACGGCAGGAACCGGAACACGCAGGAGUCGCUGGACGAGCCGAGCGAGCGCGCGGGACUCGAAGACGCUGGGCAAGAGACUAAGCGGCCAGGUGCUCGACCACACAGCGCAAAAGAAAUUCAGAAUCUCAAGGAACUGUGCUUUUCCUAUCACAUCGGCAGGAAUUCAACAACGACAAUGUACUCGGUGCGUUCAAGGAACGGUGGAAGCUGCAUCUUCUUUCUCUGCUGGUGCAUAGCUAGGCUUAAAACAAUCUGAGAAGUAUCCCUGACCCUCUGGGAUUACCAAGAAAUUCAACAGAGAGAAACAUAAGUGAACCACAAAGAAGUUCAAAGAAUGUGAAUUUCCAAGAAAUUAAAAGAAUUUAUUAGUGAACCUUACCAUUCACGUGCGUGAACUUAAAGACACUUUGUUAUUUCCAACAAAUGCAUGUUAUAUUUCUGCACAUAUGUAACUUGGAUAUCAGCUCUCUGGCUAUCUCAAAUCUUUUACUAUAAUGAGGAGAACCUUUUUAGUAACAUUUGAAUUCAAAAACCCCAAAAGUUCACCCUAAACACACUGAGAUCUGGAGAGCUUACAUUUUUCCUCAUCCUUUCGUACUCAAAUUCCCAUCUUUAUCUAAACCAUUCAUCUCUCUUCUAGGCCUUGCUCUUUAACCCCUAAAUGCUACCUCUACGGAAUGUGAGCCGCAAUUGAAAGUUUAUGUGCAAUACAAGACUUAAAUUGAGUUACCUCAUGGCAGAUAAGUUUAAAUGUUAUAUGUAGACAUUGCAGCUUCAGACAUUUCCCUGAAAAUAUUCACCUCCUUAGAAAAUUUUCAUGGGCUCUUUCUCUUCUCUGGGCCACUAUGAACCCUGGCUCUUUUCUUCUCCCCAAAGGGUCCCCCAGAAAAGAGGUAAAUGAUUUAUAUUUUAGCAUUAAUGAGAAUAACAAUUUACUAUAAUUUGAAAUGAAGAUUACAGGCAGGAAGAAAGUGCAGUUUAAGUAUUAACUUGAUUCUUCUCUCCCAAAAGAUGGUAAUGGGGAGAUGAGAGCCUAAAGGAACAUAUGGUCGUCUUUGCCUUCCGAAGCUUAUGGAUGAGCUAAGAGUGUAAAGCCACUAAG
rnacentral:lncRNA from 1 species